rnacentral:rRNA from 1 species
GAACGCUAGCGGCAGGCUUAAUACAUGCAAGUCGUGGGGCAGCAUGAGUAGCAAUACUUGAUGGCGACCGGCAAACGGGUGAGGAACACGUACACAACCUUCCUUCAAGCGGGGAAUAGCCCAGAGAAAUUUGGAUUAAUACCCCAUAAUAUAUUUGAUAAGGCAUCUUAUUAAUAUUAAAGCUUCGGCACUUGAUGAUGGGUGUGCGGCUGAUUAGAUAGUUGGCGGGGUAACGGCCCACCAAGUCUACGAUCAGUAGCUGAUGUGAGAGCAUGAUCAGCCACACGGGCACUGAGACACGGGCCCGACUCCUACGGGAGGCAGCAGUAAGGAAUAUUGGACAAUGGACGAAAGUCUGAUCCAGCCAUGCCGCGUGAAGGAUUAAGGUCCUCUGGAUUGUAAACUUCUUUUAUAUGGGACGAAAAAAGGGCAUUCUUGUUCACUUGACGGUACCAUAUGAAUAAGCACCGGCUAACUCCGUG